AACGCACCUUGCGCUCCUUGGUAUUCCGAGGAGCAUGCCUGUUUGAGUGUCAUGAAAUUCUCAACCUCUCUGGCUUUCACAAGCCAGUCAGGCUUGGAUUGUGGGAGUUGCAGGCUUUUUUUUCUGAGUCAGCUCUCCUUAAAUGUGUUAGCAGAAUCAUUUGCUGGAUCGUCUUUGAUAUGAUAACUAUUUAUAUCAUUAAACACUGGCUUGGAUUCAGCUUCUAACAGUCCUUUCCAUGGACCACUUGACUGAACACUUUGACCUCAAAUCAGGUAGGACUACCCGCUGAACUUAA
rnacentral:misc_RNA from 1 species